rnacentral:rRNA from 1 species
AGUGAACGCUGGCGGUAGGCCUAACACAUGCAAGUCGAACGGCAGCACAGUAAGAGCUUGCUCUUACGGGUGGCGAGUGGCGGACGGGUGAGGAAUACAUCGGAAUCUACUUUUUCGUGGGGGAUAACGUAGGGAAACUUACGCUAAUACCGCAUACGACCUACGGGUGAAAGCAGGGGAUCUUCGGACCUUGCGCGAUUGAAUGAGCCGAUGUCGGAUUAGCUAGUUGGCGGGGUAAAGGCCCACCAAGGCGACGAUCCGUAGCUGGUCUGAGAGGAUGAUCAGCCACACUGGAACUGAGACACGGUCCAGACUCCUACGGGAGGCAGCAGUGGGGAAUAUUAGACAAUGGGCGCAAGCCUGAUCCAGCCAUACCGCGUGGGUGAAGAAGGCCUUCGGGUUGUAAAGCCCUUUUGUUGGGAAAGGAAAGCAGCAGGUUAAUACCCCGCUGUUCUGACGGUACCCAAAGAAUAAGCACCGGCUAACUUCGUG